rnacentral:other from 1 species
GAUUUCCUUACAGCACCUCAUAAUCCAAUUAAACUGUUAAUAAUUCUGAAAAUACAAUUUGAAAUCUG